GCAGCAUGGUCUUAGCUUGCUAAGGCUGAUGGCGACCGGCGCACGGGUGAGUAACACGUAUCCAACCUGCCGUCUACUCUUGGCCAGCCUUCUGAAAGGAAGAUUAAUCCAGGAUGGCAUCAUGAGUUCACAUGUCCGCAUGAUUAAAGGUAUUUUCCGGUAGACGAUGGGGAUGCGUUCCAUUAGAUAGUAGGCGGGGUAACGGCCCACCUAGUCAACGAUGGAUAGGGGUUCUGAGAGGAAGGUCCCCCACAUUGGAACUGAGACACGGUCCAAACUCCUACGGGAGGCAGCAGUGAGGAGUAUUGGUCAAUGGGCGAUGGCCUGAACCAGCCAAGUAGCGUGAAGGAUGACUGCCCUAUGGGUUGUAAACUUCUUUUAUAAAGGAAUAAAGUCGGGUAUGCAUACCCGUUUGCAUGUACUUUAUGAAUAAGGAUCGGCCAACUCCGUGCCAGCAGCCGCGGUAAUACGGAGGAUCCGAGCGUUAUCCGGAUUUAUUGGGUUUAAAGGGAGCGUAGAUGGAUGUUUAAGUCAGUUGUGAAAGUUUGCGGCUCAACCGUAAAAUUGCAGUUGAUACUGGAUGUCUUGAGUGCAGUUGAGGCAGGCGGAAUUCGUGGUGUAGCGGUGAAAUGCUUAGAUAUCACGAAGAACUCCGAUUGCGAA
rnacentral:rRNA from 1 species